GCUUAUAAAGCUGGGUCAUAUUAUUUAAUUCUUCUGGUUUUGAUCUUCUAGCUAUAGACUUAUUUUCCUCUACUUUAAUUCCAGAUUAAUUCCACCCAGUCCCAAGGGAUUGGAAUGAGAUGCAGUUUGCAGAUGUUCUUGCUGGUUGACAUAUGCAUCAUUUCCUUGUGAUGAUGAAGACUUUUCUUCCAACAAUUUGGCAUGCCAGAAUGGGAUUCCAAGGUAACCUCUCCAAUGGAUUGAGACUGGUAAGCCCCAUCUUGCCGGCAGCAGAACCCCUUGUGUCUAUGGAUGGAUUUCCCAGGCCCUGCCCAUGUGGAGCCAGGGUAGUAAAGGGAGUUUUGAGUUUGAGCUCAAGGGCUGCUUUGGAAAGAAGGUGAAGGUACUCUAGAGUUGAUUUCAACAUAUCUGGAAGGAGAUCUAGCAGAUGACAUCUUCCCAUUUCAAGGUAAUACAAAAUAUGGAAUAUUCAUAUUUCAAUUUCAAAAUUGUGUCUUCUAGGAAAUAAUAAUAAUUUUGAGUAAUUCAACCGCAAGCAACUCCACCUCUUCUUCUUAGCAUUGCUGUAUUUGUAUUUGAUACUACAUGUUCUUAAAUUUAAAUGGGAAUGAUUGACACAUGUUGUAAUCAGCUCUAAUAGUAUUCAUAUAUCAGACAGUUCAAUUCCUUUUAUUGAGGAGCUACAGUUAAGAAUUGCACUGAAAAGGCAAAAAUCUAGAUCCAUUUCAGUCAGAUUUCAUGCUGGGAUUUUGUACCAGGACAGUUGAUAUUGCACAUGUAUUUGAUUUGUGGCAGAGCCAGGAUUGAGGUGUGUUUCCAUCCUUGUGCUCCUUGAUCUUUCAGUUUUUUUCCAAUACCAUUGACCACAGUAUCCUUCUGAGAUGGCUCCACGGGCUGCGGAUAGGA